GUGCCAGCAGCCGCGGUAAUACGUAGGGGGCGAGCGUUGUCCGGAUUCAUUGGGCGUAAAGAGCUCGUAGGCGGCUUGGCAAGUCGGGUGUGAAAUCUCUGGGCUUAACUCAGAGAGGCCACUCGAUACUGCUAUGGCUAGAGUCCGGUAGGGGACCAUGGAAUUCCUGGUGUAGCGGUGAAAUGCGCAGAUAUCAGGAGGAACACCGGUGGCGAAGGCGGUGGUCUGGGCCGGCACUGACGCUGAGGAGCGAAAGCGUGGGGAGCGAACAGGAUUAGAUACCCCCGUAGUCC
rnacentral:rRNA from 1 species